GAACGAGAAAGUGGAGCAAUCCAUGAGUACAGUGGCGACCGGGUGAGUAACACGUGACUAACCUACCCUCGAGUGGGGAAUAACUCCGGGAAACCGGAGCUAAUACCGCAUAACAUCGCAAGAUCAAAGCAGCAAUGCGCUUGAGGAGGGGGUCGCGGCUGAUUAGCUAGUUGGUAGGGUAACGGCCUACCAAGGCUGAGAUCGGUAUCCGGCCUGAGAGGGCGCACGGACACACUGGAACUGAAACACGGUCCAGACUCCUACGGGAGGCAGCAGUGGGGAAUUUUGCGCAAUGGGGGAAACCCUGACGCAGCAACGCCGCGUGGAGGAUGAAGUCCCUUGGGAUGUAAACUCCUUUCGACCGGGAAGAUACUGACGGUACCGGAAGAAGAAGCACCGGCUAACUCUGUG
rnacentral:rRNA from 1 species